rnacentral:rRNA from 1 species
AGAGUUUGAUCCUGGCUCAGAACGAACGCUGGCGGCAGGCCUAACACAUGCAAGUCGAACGCCCUAGCAAUAGGGAGUGGCAGACGGGUGAGUAACGCGUGGGAACAUGCCCUUUGGUUCGGAAUAGCUCAGGGAAACUUGGAUUAAUACCGGAUACGUCCAUUGCUUUGACUGGCUUUGGAGAAAGAUUUAUCGCCGAA